ensembl:lncRNA
AUGUCUGAAGAUGUGGUAAACAGGUACACUCGACCUGACAGGAGUCCUGACAGCCAGUCUGUGCACUCGAUUACCAGCACAGAAAUAGAGUGGCUGAGAGAGCGCACAAAGAACAAGAUGACAUUGCUGAACAACAUGAGAGAACAUGAUUGGAGAUCAGGGGAAGGGUCCGCAGAGGAAGGGGAGGAGCUAUGGCCACAGGCUCCUCCUUCAACUGAUCGGCGUGUUUCCAUUGACACCCUUGCGACAGACCCCUGGUUACGUCCUAGUUCCUCUGAAACGCUGAAGAGAUUCGUGGGCGGUCGCAGACCAUCCAGCCAAACCCACAUUGGCCAGGACUGGGAAGGGCCAUCCACUUACCAUGGUUAA